rnacentral:rRNA from 1 species
GACGAACGCUGGCGGUGUGCUUCAUACAUGCAAGUCGAACGAUAAGGCCCUUCGGGGUACAUAAGUGGCGGACGGGUGAGUAACGCGUAGGGAAUCUGCCUUAAGGAAGGGGACAACGUUGGGAAACUGACGCUAAUACCCUAUAUGUGGCGAGCUGAGAUGCUUAUCAUGAAAUGUUCCGGCGCCUUAAGAUGAGCCUGCGUCUGAUUAGCUAGUUGGUGGGGUAAAGGGCUACCAAGGCGACGAUCAGUAGAUGGUCUGAGAGGAUGAUCAUCCACAAUGGGACUGAGACACGGCCCAUACUCCUACGGGAGGCAGGAGUAGGGAAUUUUGCGCACUGGGCGAAAGCCUGACGCAGCAACACCGCGUGAGCGAUGAGGCCCUUCGGGGUGUAAAGCUCUGUCGGCAGGGACGAAUAAAUGACGGUACCUGCAAAGGAAGCAUCGGCUAACUACGUGCCAGCCGCCGCCGUAA